UUUACUGGCCACGGCUGACUAUGGAAAGCCACCCAGCAGGUCUCCUGGCUCCAGGAGGGCAAAGAGGCAGGGUCUUACAUUCCAAGGACAUCUCUGCGACACUCCUGGGAAAAACUCGUGUUUAUUUGACAAUCCAGGCAGAGAUGGGGGGGGGAGAGAAGAACAUCCUUUUGAAAAUGGCAGUCUAUCUCGGAAUUGUUUAAAAUUAUAAUCUCAUCUAUAAGAGCCCAGAUUUGAAGAAUUGUAUUAUGUGGGCUAAAUUAAACUUUUGCCUCCAACUAGCAUGGGGUAAUUACAAUAAGGGAUCACAUGAAGUUCACUGCUGUUCAAUGCAACACAAUUUGUGACCAUCAACUACGGUAAUAAAGCAUUCUAUCAAAACAAGGCUUCACUUAUAUUUAGACAUCUUCCCUGCUCCUGAGUGUGACAAACCACCAGAACCCUGUCUCUACUUGCCGCAGUGAUAACAACGCAGGGGUGACCUGUCUCGAACAAGCAAAGGACAUGUUCAAUAACAUGCUAUUACUAAGCCUCCAUACUUAUUGAAGAGACAUCCAUGCUCAAAUCAUGCCGACUCAAAGCUGAUUUUCUCCGCAUUCCAACCAAAAGACAGAGUGACAGAGCCAGAGAACUUGCGGAAUUUAUGGGGUAGACCAGAACGCUCCUAAGUUGAUGACCUGAUAACAUGUUAGACAGCCUCCAAUUCAGUCUCCCCUCCUGGAACCAGAGCGUACCCAUACAGCAGUUCCAAACAUGCGGCUGCACCAGGGAAGUUUCUGCUCUUCCAUCAUUAAAAUAAAUCAGAAGGCGCAACUAGCUGUUUUGUCAAUGUUGGCUGGAGCCAGCAUGUACACACGUUUUAGAUAUGCAAAACCAUACAUGGGUAAUAAGCUUGUUUUCAAACCUUUUUGUUAUAAUCAUUGAAUGUCUGAAGAGUUUCUACACAAAAAUCAAUAAUCUCAAGGCUCACAUGCAAAAAAAGCUCUCUGCCUCAGAUUCUCCCCAUUUCCUACCAACGUACCCCAUAUGUUCUCUGCUAUAUCUGUGAGGGUAACCAUCCACUGUGAUAUACAGCAAGGCAAGCCAAAAUAUAUUUUUCUCAAAAAGAAAAAAAAAAGCACUUUCAAAUAUACUUAACAAGCAAAUUGAAUGUCUUAUUAAAAUCGUAUUAUCUAAACAGUGUUCAAAAAUUUAAAGAAAGUAGCUUUUCAUUUUAUUCAUCGAGGAAUCCAUUAAAGCUUAGGCUCUGAAGUAGUAUGUAAAUUAUGUGCCUUUCAAGGUAGAGCUAGGGCAAAUUCACUCCAUCAACUAAUGAUGAACCUCAUUAUGUGCAGGGAGGAUUCAUAAUGAGGAAAGAGCCACCCGCCAUUCCAUGUUCUAACAUAAAUCCCUGUAAAAUUUGAAUAUCUCCCCGUCUAAUUAAAGGCUACUAAUUCCAAUCACCCCCUCCAUGGCCCCAAAGUAAAAAUAAACCUCUUUAAAAGCACAGACUACAGUUAUAUUUCUAAAGCAGCACUCGAGUCUGUUUGGACUCAGAACCUUCCACUCAGAUAUGUUUUACGACAAGCAUAAUUAGCAGCUUUCUAAGAUACAAACUUUGAGGCUGUUCAAGCUCAUUUUGGUUAAAUACAUUGGAUUUCUAUUUUUCAAAGAGCUUCACCUUGACGGGGCUACCGUGCAUGCACAGAGAUGAUCCGCAGCCAAGAAACCAACAGGAAUGUGUGAGCAUCGUAAUAACGUAAAAUAAAAUUCUUACACUCGAGUUCCAUGCUAAAGAUGAGAUGUUAAGGAAAAGAAAAAAAAAAAAAAACAAGCACCGUGGCAUGAACCCGAGAUUACAUUUGGACGGGAUGUAUUCAAAUUUGCUUGGGAACGACAUACUUGAUUCUGGAACAAAACUGCUCACUUUUAAUGUGGCUUGAACUAAUGAGCAAGUACAGCCCAGCGUGUCUCAAGCCAAAGAACUAUUCCCUCUUGUAAUCACUGACUUUGAUUUUAUUUUAACUGAAAACUAUAGAAUGCAAACCCAACGUUGCCAAACAUAUUUAUUAUGAUUAAUAGCCUGUAAUAUCCCUCACUAAGGCUUAAUUUGCUCUCGUUUUCAAUUAUGAAUCUGCACUACUCUAUUCCACUCCCCUUUUCAGGUAGAGAUGAAUUUCUUGUGGUCUGUACUCUUUGUAUUGUAUCGCCACCCAGCAAGGCACAAUUAGUUAAAAACAGCAAAUCUCCACCUUGACUCUCACAGAGCACCAGAUUACGCAAAAUUAAGAGAACCAAAUCAGUGAGAAAUAAGUGAAGGUGUCCAGGGAAUAUAAAGCAAUUAGACCAAAGGAAAACGAGAAAGGACAUAUGCCAGUCACCCACUCACUCACACCUUUACAUUAAAAUUCAAAAAAUAAAAAUAAAAAUAAAAAAAGGAAAGGAGAAAAAAAGAAAACCCAACCACCUAGAUCCUUUAUUUAAUUUUGAUAAACUGAAUACAGCAUCCAACCAGGAAAUCUUAUCUGCUGCUGUCAGUUCAAGUGUCCCCAAAUGUCUGAACCCCAGUCUGGUAAUGCAAUGUACACACCACUGUGACAUCAAGUGUAGAAGAAUUUCAGGAGCUAACGAGUCCAUUCUACUAGAGAUGCCGCUGCUUUUUAAGUUGCAUAAAAAUAAACUCCACUCCAUAAAAGCUGCCACAGUGCGUGCUCUCUCAUCCCUCGGCUCCAGGCGUGAUCUCCCCACCCCCCCACCCUGCCUUUUAGGUCAGCCACUCAUGCAUUAGGAAGACAUCCCUCCCAAAAUAACUUGGCCCUCCCCCGAAGCACAGAGUUGAGCAGCCUACCUUUGUUCUGGAGUUGCAGAUAAUAACAGGCAAGCCUCAAGACCAUGAGGAUUUGGAAAAGAUCAGGAGAGUUGAAGGAAAAAAAAGAAGAAGAAGAAAAAAAAAAAAAA